CAAUAGCGUAUAUUAAAGUUGUUGCGGUUAAAAAGUUCGUAGUUGGAUUUCUGCCAAGGACGACCGGUCCGCCCUCUGGGUGAGUAUCUGGCUUGGCCUGGGCAUCUUCUUGGAGAACGUUGCUGCACUUCGCUGUGUGGCGCGGUAUCCAGGACCUUUACUUUGAGGAAAUUAGAGUGUUUCAAGCAGGCUUUCGCCUUGAAUACAUUAGCAUGGAAUAAUAAGAUAGGACCUCGGUUCUAUUUUGUUGGUUUCUAGAGCUGGGGUAAUGAUUAAUAGGGAUAGUUGGGGGCAUUCGUAUUUAACUGUCAGAGGUGAAGUUCUUGGAUUUGUUAAAGACGGACUACUGCGAAANCANNNGCCAAGGAUGUUUUCAUNGA
rnacentral:rRNA from 1 species